UGGGGGAUAUUGCACAAUGGGCGAAAGCCUGAUGCAGCGACGCCGCGUGGGGGAUGAAGGCUUUCGGGUUGUAAACCUCUUUCGCUAUCGAACAAGGCCCGCUUAGGGUGGGUUGAGGGUAGGUGGAGAAGAAGCGCCGGCUAACUACGUGCCAGCAGCCGCGGUAAUACGUAGGGCGCGAGCGUUGUCCGGAAUUAUUGGGCGUAAAGGGCUUGUAGGCGGCUUGUUGCGCCUGCUGUGAAAACGCGGGGCUUAACUUCGCGCGUGCAGUGGGUACGGGCAGGAUUGAGUGUGGUAGGGGUGACUGGAAUUCCAGGUGUAGCGGUGGAAUACACAGAUAUCUGGAGGAACACCGAUGGCGAAGGCAGGUCACUGGGCCAUUACUGACGCUGAGGAGCGAAAGCAUGGGUAGCGAACAGG
rnacentral:rRNA from 1 species